AUCCAGAUGACGAGUCCCAAAUGAGACGAAACGCGCGUCCUGGAU
rnacentral:hammerhead_ribozyme from 1 species